UAGGGAAUCUUCCGCAAUGGGCGAAAGCCUGACGGAGCAACGCCGCGUGAGUGAUGAAGGUCUUCGGAUCGUAAAACUCUGUUAUUAGGGAAGAACAAAUGUGUAAGUAACUAUGCACGUCUUGACGGUACCUAAUCAGAAAGCCACGGCUAACUACGUGCCAGCAGCCGCGGUAAUACGUAGGUGGCAAGCGUUAUCCGGAAUUAUUGGGCGUAAAGCGCGCGUAGGCGGUUUUUUAAGUCUGAUGUGAAAGCCCACGGCUCAACCGUGGAGGGUCAUUGGAAAAUGGAAAACUUGAGUGCAGAAGAUGAAAGUGGAAUUCCAUGUGUAGCGGUGAAAUGCGCAGAGAUAUGGAGGAACACCAGUGGCGAAGGCGACUUUCUGGUCUGUAACUGACGCUGAUGUGCGAAAGCGUGGGGAUCAAACAGG
rnacentral:rRNA from 1 species